rnacentral:lncRNA from 1 species
AUGCCCCCACUCUCCUUGCAACCAAGGAGCCCACACCCCUUCCCCCAGUGUCUCUUCCAUCAGUCCAAGGCUGAGGCAACCCAGUUGCUUCCGAAGCAAGAUGACCAAGUUUGGAAGAGACGGCUGAAGCAUCUGUCCCUGGCAGAAGCUCUGUCUUGCGCUCAGACACUCUACCCAGACUUUGUUCCUGGCGGCACCAGAGAACUUCCCCAGCCCGGGGAGGAAUCUCUGAGGAUCACAGUUUCUGCGGAUGCAGGCAUGGCUUACCUGGGCUGUCAAGGUUGUCAGCCAGAGCUGGGUUCCUCUGGAAGGCUUGACUGGAGGAGGGUCCACUCCAGCUCACGUCGGUGGUUGUUGGCAAGAUUCGGCUCCUUGAGGGCUAUGCGAUGA